rnacentral:tRNA from 1 species
AGGUUUAUAGUAUAAUUAAGUACGUUUGCCUUCCAAGCAGAAAGUUUCGUUAUAAACCUA